CGGGGUAUAGCGCAGUCUGGUAGCGCGCCUGCUUUGGGAGCAGGAUGUGGCAGGUUCAAAUCCUGUCGUCCCGACCA
rnacentral:tRNA from 1 species